CUUCACCUCAUUCGGAGAGCAAGAAAUCCCAGCCACACAUAACGAAUUGCCACAACAACAGAGGACUGUAUGACACAGCUGCAAGGAAGGUGGAAGAAGAACAGGCACACGGAGCCAUCAACAAAGAAACUCGAGUGUGGCUUAGCACAGGGCCACAAGAACAAGGCAGCACCAAGCACCCAGUCAGUACUCUGCAGGCAGCAUUCUGAGAUGGGAAUGUCACACAUGGACUGCACUUACCUUACCUAGGCAACUUGUAGGCCUUGAUGAGUGGCAGAGGUGCCUGAAGACUGGAGGAAAGCCAGUGUCACUUCAAUCUUCAGAAAGGGCAAGGAGGAGGACCUGGGCAACUACAGGGCAGUCACGCUUACCUCCAUCCCUGGAAAGGAGGUGAAGCAACUUGUUCUGAAUGUCAUCUCCAAGCAAUUGGAAAAGAAAGUUAUCAGGAGUAGUCAGCAUGGAUUUCAGGCUGCCCAAAGAGGCUGUGGGGUCUCCUUCUCUGGAGACAUUCAAAACUUUCCUGGACUCAUUGCUGUGUGACCUAACCUAGAUGUUCCUGCUCUGGCAGGAUGAUUGGACUAGAUGGUCUUUCAAGGUCCCUUCCAAUCACAUAUUCCGUGAUUCUGUGAUUCACCAAGGGGAAAUCAUGCUUGACCAACCUGGCAGUCUUCUAUGCUGUCAUCACCGACUGAGUAGAUGGGGGGAGAGCAGUGGAUGUCAUACACCUUGACUUCAACAAAGCUUUUGACACUGUUUUCCAUAACUUCCUCAUAGGUAAGCUUAGAAGUGUGGGAAAGAUGAGUGAGGUAAACUGGGAACGGAGGUGGAUAGAGCUCAGAGUGUUCUCAUCAGUGGUGAAGAGGUCUAUAGAGUUGGAGGUCUACAGUGAGUGGUGCUCCUCAGGGGUUGGUACUGCGUCCAGUCUUGUUCAGCAUCUUCAUUAAUGCUGCAGUUUGGUGAUUUUUGGUGUCAGUAUUCCACAUCAGGACAUCACAUGAACCAGUGGAAGUUAAAGAGUUAACGUUCUGGUUCCGUUUACUGCCUCUUAUUGGCAUUUUGGGUGUUCUGAUGGGAGGGGAGGGGCAGCAUCCCUGGAGGACUUGGUGUGGAGAGGCAGUGCGGCAGACCUCCGGGACCGCGGCCGUCUCUCCCUCCGUUGGGCUGGCUCAGCUUGCUGUGGAGAAGGGCACGUGCUUCCCUCUCACUUCGGGUACUCUUCUCUCUCAUUUGGCUUGAUUUCGUUGGAUUUAGUGAGUUACUGUGCCCCUCUUGUCACGGACUCAGAUAACUCCAUGACAGUUAGUGAUCUGGAUGAAGGGACAGUGUCCAUUCUCAGCAAGUUUGCUGAUGAUACAAAGCUGGGAGGAGUGACUGACACACCAGAAGGCUGUGCUGCCCUUUGGUGAGAGCUGCACGGAGCAGAGUCGGGCAGAGAGGAACAUUAGGAGGUUCAACAAGGGCAAGUGUAGGAUUCUGCACCUGGGGAGG
rnacentral:lncRNA from 1 species